UGUAUAAUGGGUCAGCGACUUAUAUUCUGUAGCAAGGUUAACCGAAUAGGGGAGCCGAAGGGAAACCGAGUCUUAACUGGGCGUUAAGUUGCAGGGUAUAGACCCGAAACCCGGUGAUCUAGCCAUGGGCAGGUUGAAGGUUGGGUAACACUAACUGGAGGACCGAACCGACUAAUGUUGAAAAAUUAGCGGAUGACUUGUGGCUGGGGGUGAAAGGCCAAUCAAACCGGGAGAUAGCUGGUUCUCCCCGAAAGCUAUUUAGGUAGCGCCUCGUGAAUUCAUCUUCGGGGGUAGAGCACUGUUUCGGCUAGGGGGUCAUCCCGACUUACCAACCCGAUGCAAACUGCGAAUACCGAAGAAUGUUAUCACGGGAGACACACGGCGGGUGCUAACGUCCGUCGUGAAGAGGGAAACAACCCAGACCGCCAGCUAAGGUCCCAAAGUCAUGGUUAAGUGGGAAACGAUGUGGGAAGGCACAGACAGCCAGGAUGUUGGCUUAGAAGCAGCCAUCAUUUAAAGAAAGCGUAAUAGCUCACUGGUCGAGUCGGCCUGCGCGGAAGAUGUAACGGGGCUAAACCAUGCACCGAAGCUGCGGCAGCGACACUAUGUGUUGUUGGGUAGGGGAGCG
rnacentral:rRNA from 1 species